rnacentral:rRNA from 1 species
GACGAACGCUGGCGGCGUGCUUAACACAUGCAGGUCGAACGGAAAGGCCCUGCUUUUGUGGGGUGCUCGAGUGGCGAACGGGUGAGUAACACGUGAGUAACCUGCCCUUGACUUUGGGAUAACUUCAGGAAACUGGGGCUAAUACCGGAUAGGAGCUCCUGCUGCAUUGUGGGGGUUGGAACGUUUCGGCGGUUGGGGUUGGACUCGCGGCUUAUCAGCUUGUUGGUGGGGUAGUGGCUUACCAAGGCUUUGACGGGUAGCCGGCCUGAGAGGGUGACCGGCCACAUUGGGACUGAGAGACGGCCCAGACUGCUAUGGGAGGCAGCGGUGGGGAAUAUUGCACAGUGGGAGGACGCCGGAUGCAGCGACGCCGCGUGCGGGAUGACGGCCUUCGGGUUGUAAACCGCUUUCGCCUGAGACGAAGCGUGAGUGACGGUAAUGAGUAAAGAAGCACCGGCUAACUACGUG